UCACUUCCUGGGAUGUUCCCACCCCAGGAACAUCACUGUCCAUGAUGGCAGUCUGCCCAGCAAUCUGGCCUGUUCCCAAGACUGGUGUUUCACUCCUCGGUCGCACCCGUAACCGAACUUGGUGAUCUCCUGCAACUGCUCUACCUCUGGUUUCUCCUCACAUACUACCCACAGCAACCUCAAACAAUGAGGUUUUGUACCAUUAUAGAGUCCUCUUAUUGGAAUGGAUUAGAGGGGAAGGAAGAAACUUAGUCAUACCAGGAAAAUCAUUCCCUCACUAUUGCAAGAGUUAGGUUUCAUAAUCUGCCUUUCAAAGAGCAAUUACAAAAGCAAUAAGUGAUUUUGUUGUAAGGAUUACAAAUACACCUACCUGAUUAAUUGGGGGCCGGGGAGGAUGGUCCUAAUGUGGUGACUUGGGUCAAACUUUCCAGUGAGUCAGACAUGUAUUUGAGAAGUGCUGCAUCUCAGACAGCUCAGAUGCAAGUGAACGAGCUACACUUUGAGAAAUGGACUCUAGAUAUCAUGAAGACGUUGAUGACCAAGAUGCAUGUAGAGAGUGAAUAAAAUUGUUACUUGAAAUGUGAGAAUGGGAAAAAAGCAAUAUUUUGUAUUAAUGUAUUAUAUAUAUAAUGUUAUUUUAAAUAUGCAUGUGUAACUAAAGUAAUAAAUUAGAUAUUAUAACUA
rnacentral:lncRNA from 1 species